CAGGGUUUAGCUCAAUGGUAGAGUGAGUGUUUAGCAUGCACGAGGUCCUGGAUUCAAUUCCAGUGCCUUCA
rnacentral:tRNA from 1 species